CCAGCCCAGCCGGCAGCCGAUUCACUUGCGUUCCUCUUCUUCUCUCCCACUACAAACCCUAGCCGCCGCUCACCGCCCGCCGUUGUGGUCUGCCCGAUGCCCCAUGAGACGCGAGUCCCCGGCGGCCGGCGCGCAGCGAGGCGCACCACGCGCCCCUGACCGAUGAAGUCCGGCGCUCCGAGCCGCGGCCCUGACCAGUGAAGACCGGCGCCCCGCACCGCCAUCCCCGACCCCUCGUUGGUCGCUCCACUGCCCGUGACGCGGCCGUCCGCUGCUAGUGCUCCACCUCCCGACUGCCGGUUCAGUAGUUGCAGUCCUCUUCCAUGUUGUUUGCCUACUUGCCGCCUACUGACCUCUUUCUGUUCUUCACAUUGCAACUAAAGCUGAAUCUGAAUCUGAACAUCAUGAUGAGGAGUUGAAUGAGAGAGAUUAUGCCUAUCUAGAGGCAGAUGCAGAUUCAGGAGCAGCUUCUGUAGUCAUUUGGGUUGUUCUGCAGACAUGGACCCUCUUAUUACUAUAUGAUCUAUGUAUCAACAUUAAAUCGGCCUUGCAAAUGGAAUAUUUGUUUUCUAUUUAUUUCUGCACUUUGGCUUUUGUUCACGCAUUUUAAAUCCUGAGUAUAUAAUUCCUAUGUACACAAUAGUGCAUCCGUGCUCGUUUCCUGAAACAAGAUAUAUACAUGGUGUAUAUCAUUUGUACAGAACAUGUAUUUGUAAAUCUCUUUGUUAUUU